ensembl:snRNA U6 U6 spliceosomal RNA
GAGUUUCCUUGGGCAGCACAUAUACUAAAACUGGAACAAUACAGAAGAUUAGCUUGGCCCUUGCAUAAGGAUGACAUGCAAAUUCAUGAAGUGGUCCAUAUUAAA